UAAGACGAACCGUGCGAACGUUGUUCGGAUUCACUGGGCUUAAAGGGCGCGUAGGCGGAUUCGUAAGUUCGGGGUGAAAUCUUUCGGCUCAACCGGAAAAGUGCCUCGGAUACUGCGAGUCUGGAGGGAGGUAGGGGCCGCGGGAACUUCCGGUGGAGCGGUGAAAUGCGUUGAUAUCGGAAGGAACGCCGGUGGCGAAAGCGCGCGGCUGGUCCUCUUCUGACGCUGAGGCGCGAAAGCUAGGGGAGCAAACGGGAUUAGAUACCCCGGUAGUCCUAGCCCUAAACGAUGGGCACUAGAUAGUGGACUUAUCAUGGGUUCACUGUCGAAGCAAAAGUGCUAAGUGCCCCGCCUGGGGAGUAUGGUCGCAAGGCUG
rnacentral:rRNA from 1 species